rnacentral:rRNA from 1 species
UCCGGUGAUUAUAGCGACAGGGAAACACCCGAUACAUUCCGAACUCGGAAGUUAAGUCUGUCAGCGCUGAUGGUACUGUACGGGCCACCGUGUGGGAGAGUAAGACGUUGCCGGGA